AGAGUUUGAUCCUGGCUCAGGAUGAACGCUAGCGGCAGGCUUAACACAUGCAAGUCGAGGGGUAUAUGUCUUCGGAUAUAGAGACCGGCGCACGGGUGCGUAACGCGUAUGCAAUCUGCCUUUCACAGAGGGAUAGCCCAGAGAAAUUUGGAUUAAUACCUCAUAGUAUUACGGCUCGGCAUCGAGAUGUAAUUAAAGUCACAACGGUGAAAGAUGAGCAUGCGUCCCAUUAGCUGGUUGGUAAGGUAACGGCUUACCAAGGCUACGAUGGGUAGGGGUCCUGAGAGGGAGAUCCCCCACACUGGUACUGAGACACGGACCAGACUCCUACGGGAGGCAGCAGUGAGGAAUAUUGGUCAAUGGGCGCAAGCCUGAACCAGCCAUGCCGCGUGCAGGAUGACGGUCCUAUGGAUUGUAAACUGCUUUUGUACGAGAAGAAACACUGAUUCGUGAAUCAGCUUGACGGUAUCGUAAGAAUAAGGAUCGGCUAACUCCGUGCCAGCAGCCGCGGUAAUACGGAGGAUCCAAGCGUUAUCCGGAAUUAUUGGGCGUAAAGAGCUCGUAGGCGGCUUGUAAGUCAGUGGUGAAAGCCCAUCGCUCAACGGUGGAACGGCCAUUGAUACGGGCUAGCUAGAGUGUGGUAGGGGAGACUAGAAUUCCUGGUGUAGCGGUGAAAUGCGCAGAUAUCAGGAGGAACACCGGUGGCGAAGGCGGAUCUCUGGGCCAUUACUGACGCUGAGGAGCGAAAGCGUGGGGAGCGAACAGGAUUAGAUACCCUGGUAGUCCACGCCGUAAACGGUGGGAACUAGGUGUUGGCGACAUUCCACGUCGUCGGUGCCGCAGCUAACGCAUUAAGUUCCCCGCCUGGGGAGUACGGCCGCAAGGCUAAAACUCAAAGGAAUUGACGGGGGCCCGCACAAGCAGCGGAGCAUGUGGCUUAAUUCGACGCAACGCGAAGAACCUUACCAAGGCUUGACAUACGCCGGAAACACCUAGAGAUAGGUGCCCCCUUGUGGUCGGUGUACAGGUGGUGCAUGGCUGUCGUCAGCUCGUGUCGUGAGAUGUUGGGUUAAGUCCCGCAACGAGCGCAACCCUCGUUCUAUGUUGCCAGCACGUCAUGGUGGGAACUCAUAGGAGACUGCCGGGGUCAACUCGGAGGAAGGUGGGGAUGACGUCAAGUCAUCAUGCCCCUUAUGUCCAGGGCUUCACGCAUGCUACAAUGGCCGGUACAAAGGGCUGCAAUACCGUGAGGUGGAGCGAAUCCCAAAAAGCCGGUCUCAGUUCGGAUUGGGGUCUGCAACUCGACCCCAUGAAGUUGGAGUUGCUAGUAAUCGCAGAUCAGCAUGCUGCGGUGAAUACGUUCCCGGGCCUUGUACACACCGCCCGUCACGUCACGAAAGUCGGUAACACCCGAAGCCGGUGGCCUAACCCUUGGGAGGGAGCCGUCGAAGGUGGGACCAGCGAUUGGGACGAAGUCGGAACAAGGUAGCCGUACC
rnacentral:rRNA from 1 species